rnacentral:tRNA from 1 species
GGAGAGGUGGCCGAGUGGCUGAAGGCGCACGCUUGGAAAGCGUGUAUACGAGCGAUCGUAUCGAGGGUUCGAAUCCCUCUCUCUCCGCCA